UCUGUGUGACGUCAACCCUCCAGAGGGCUUCAGCCUCCGUAGGGGCGUCUGUAUCCACAUCGCCUUCUUCCUGAAGACCCUGCUGAAAAUGGAGGAGUCGGUGCUGGUGCUACCCCCUUGGGGCCGCCUCUACCAUUGGCAGAGCCUGGCCAUCCACCAGGUCCUGAUUCCCUGGUCUGACUUUUUUGAUCUCUCAAGUCUCAACAGAAACAUCCCUGACACUGAGUACGAACAGUUCAUUGCAGAUUCAGUCAUGUAUUCUGAGCCCCUGGAUUUUCCACGUGAAUUUUAGAUUGAUUGCGAAGUCCAGCAAAACACCACCUGGGAUUUGGAAUCUCUAAUCUAUUGUAGUCUUCAGUGUCCAAGUCUGGGACUUCUUCCUCACCUCUAUUGGAUGCUGAUUCAGAAGAGACACGACCUCCUGGAGAACCUCUGUUGCCACGGAGCUG